rnacentral:tRNA from 1 species
GCUUGGAUGGCUUAGUUGGCUAAGCAUCUGACUUUGGCUCAGGUCAUAAUCUCAUGCUUUGUGGGUUUAAGACCCACGUUGGGCU